rnacentral:rRNA from 1 species
CAGCAGCCACGGGAAUACGAGGGGUGCGAGCGUUAAUCGGAAUUACUGGGCGUAAAGCGUGCGCAGGCGGUUUGUUAAGACAGAUGUGAAAUCCCCGGGCUUAACCUGGGAACUGCAUUUGUGACUGGCAAGCUAGAGUAUGGCAGAGGGGGGUGGAAUUCCGCGUGUAGCGGUGAAAUGCGUAGAUAUAGGAAGGAACACCAGUGGCGAAGGCGACCACCUGGGCUCAUACUGACACUGAGGUGCGAAAGCGUGGGGAGCAAACAGGAUUAGAUACCCGCGUAGUCCCUGUCUCUUAUAC